GAACAGUCUCUACAGAUAGACCUCAAGACUGGUGGCCUUUCUGUCAGCCCUCACAUCGCGGCCGAUGAUUCGCAUCUGGACGUAUAUGAGCAGGGUGUUCUCUUCACCUCUCUGUGCCUGGACAAAAAUUUGCCUGACAUGAUGAAUCUGUGGACGGAAAUAUUCAACAACCCCCAUUUUGAAGAUGAGGAACAUUUCAAAGUCUUGGUAAAGAUGACCGCUCAGGAACUGUCCAACAAUAUUCCUGAUUCCGGACACACGUACGCUUCGAUUAGAGCAAGCCGGACCUUGACGCCUGCGGGAGAGUUAAAGGAGAUGUUUAAUGGCAUGGAGCAG